rnacentral:lncRNA from 1 species
AGAGGCACUCUUGUGGGCCUAGAAUGUGGCUCCAACACAGGCACCUAUGCUUCAGAGACCAGGAAGGAAGAGAGCUACGAUGCAGCCAAGGAAACAGUAACACGAGGAGCAGAUCGUUUAGCAGGAACAAAAUGCGUCUGCAACCCCUGGCUCAUAUUUAGCUCAGCUGCCAUCCAUCACUCACAGACGAAAGCUCGAAAAGCAUCAAGUCCACACCGAAAGGAGGAAAAUGAAGCGAACGCGAAUUCCUGCAAUGAAAACCACCUGCCCUCAGCUUAGAUUUUAGCUCACUGUGACUCAGGGGCUGGCUCUGGCACCCAGGCACAAGAACUCCAGAAGUUUGGACGAGACUUUGGGUAUCUGAGGAGGAAAUACCUGGCCCAACUUGUCACCAUUCAAGAGGAAACCAGAGAGAGAUUCUAAUAAUAAAAGAUGGUAUCCUGGGUGAGGGUGAGACUGUUUGUAAGCAUACGUCCUGUGUAGACCGUGCUUGCAGCUGUGUGUCGGUGGUGGCUUCUUGUAUCGUGGGCGCUCCCUCGGGAUAGCUGAGAAGCGUUAGGGUUCCAAGUAGGCUGAUAAUGGAAUUCACCCGCCAUCAAACACAACCAGGAGAGAGGGGAAAAAAAAAGUAGGAACAAAAUCAACUAAACAAGAAUAAAAGAAAGAAAUCUCAUCGAUGAUGGGUCUGUUGAGAGGCUUCUUAGCAAGAAGGCAG